UAACGCGAAGAACCUUACCUGAUCUUGACAUCCCAGUGACAGGGACUUAAUCGUCCUUUCUCUUCGGAGCGCUGGAGACAGGUGGUGCAUGGUUGUCGUCAGCUCGUGUCGUGAGAUGUUGGGUUAAGUCCCGCAACGAGCGCAACCCUUAUCUUCAGUAGCCAGCAUUUAAGGUGGGCACUCUGGAGAGACUGCCAGGGACAACCCGGAGGAAGGUGGGGAUGACGUCAAAUCAUCAUGCCCCUUAUGACCAGGGCUACACACGUGCUACAAUGGCGUAAACAAAGGGAAGCGAUCACGUGAGUGUAAGCGAAUCUCAAAAAUAACGUCUCAGUUCGGAUUGUAGUCUGCAACUCGACUACAUGAAGCUGGAAUCGCUAGUAAUCGCGAAUCAGAAUGUCGCGGUGAAUACGUUCCCGGGCCUUGUACACACCGA
rnacentral:rRNA from 1 species